GUAUCGGUAGCUCAGCUGGAUAGAGCACUGCCCUCCUAAGGCAGGUGUCGGAGGUUCGAAUCCUCUUCGGUACACCA
rnacentral:tRNA from 4 species